AUUGAACGCUGGCGGCAUGCCUUACACAUGCAAGUCGAACGGCAGCACGGGUGCUUGCACCUGGUGGCGAGUGGCGAACGGGUGAGUAAUACAUCGGAACAUGUCCUGUAGUGGGGGAUAGCCCGGCGAAAGCCGGAUUAAUACCGCAUACGAUCCACGGAUGAAAGCGGGGGACCUUCGGCCCUCGCGCUAUAGGGUUGGCCGAUGGCUGAUUAGCUAGUUGGUGGGGUAAAGGCCUACCAAGGCGACGAUCAGUAGCUGGUCUGAGAGGACGACCAGCCACACUGGGACUGAGACACGGCCCAGACUCCUACGGGAGGCAGCAGUGGGGAAUUUUGGACAAUGGGCGAAAGCCUGAUCCAGCAAUGCCGCGUGUGUGAAGAAGGCCUUCGGGUUGUAAAGCACUUUUGUCCGGAAAGAAAACCUUGGCUCUAAUACAGUCGGGGGAUGACGGUACCGGAAGAAUAAGCACCGGCUAACUACGUG
rnacentral:rRNA from 1 species